rnacentral:lncRNA from 1 species
CGUCAUCUCGUGCGUUGUGUUGUCAGCUCCAAGCUUUUUUUGUGUGUAUUUUCUCUGUAUGGACUCCGUUUGGAUUGUUCUUGAGCUCGUUGGACUCCGUUCGUCGUUCUGGACCUCACUACGGGCUCAAUAUGGAUUGAAUUUUGAGGUGUAUUUCUUAACAUUACUUACCUAUAUAUGCCAUGUACCAAGCCCAAUGUGGCUUAUGCCUUGAGCAUUAGAUUUCACGC